AUUGAACGCUGGCGGCAUGCCUAACACAUGCAAGUCGAACGAGUAGAGGACGGGUGAGUAAUGUCUGGGAAACUGCCUGAUGGAGCGGGAUAACUACUGGAAACGGUAGCUAAUACCGCUUACCAUAAGAUGUGCCCAGGUGGGAUUAGCUAGUUGGUGGGGUAACGGCUCACAAAGGCGACGAUCCCUAUCUGGGCUGCGAGGAUGACCGGCCACACGGGAACUGAGACACGGCCCAGACUCCUACGGUAGGCAGCAGUGGGGAAUAUUCGACAAUGGACGCAAGUCUGAUCGAGCCAUGCCGCAUGAAUGAAGAAGGCUUUCGGGUUGUAAAGUACUGUCAUCGGGGAGGCGUUACCCGCACAGGAAGCACCGGCUAACUCCGUGCCAGCAGCCGCGGUAAUAC
rnacentral:rRNA from 1 species